rnacentral:rRNA from 1 species
AGUGAACGCUGGCGGCAUGCUUUACACAUGCAAGUCGAACGGCAGCGCGGUCUUCGGCCUCUCUUCGAGUUGCCGACGGGUGAGUAAUGCAUCGGAACGUCCCCAGUUGUUGUUUAUAGCGCGACGAAGUCCGGAUAAAUACCCCAUUAGAGCAUACGGUGUAAGCGUGAGAGCGGAAGAUCUUCCGCCAUUGCACCAUCCGAUGUCGGAUUAGCUAGUUGGUGGGGUAAAGGCUUACCAAGGCGACGAUCCGUAGCUGGUCUGAGAGGACGACCAGCCACACUGGAACUGAGACACGGCCCAGACUCCUACGGGAGGCAGCAGUGGGGAAUUUUGGACAAUGGGGGCAAGCCUGAUCCAGCCAUGCCGCGUGCGUGAAGAAGGCCUUCGGGUUGUAAACCGCUUUUGUUCGGGAAGAAAUGCUGUAGGCUAAUACCCCGGGGUGAUGGCGGUACCGGAAGAAUAAGCACCGGCUAACUACGUG